rnacentral:rRNA from 1 species
GGUUAAGCAGAAUAAGCGUGUUUGGUGGAUGCCUUGGCAUUCAGAGGCGAUGAAGGACGUGCUAAUCUGCGAUAAGCGUCGGUAAGCUGAUAUGAAGCGUUAUAAUCCGAUGAUUUCCGAAUGGGGAAACCCGAUGUUCAAAACAUCAUUAUUAAUUGAAUUAAUAGAUUAAUAAAGCAAACCAAGGGAACUGAAACAUCUAAGUACCUUGAGGAAAAGAAAUCAAUUGAGAUUCCCUGAGUAGUGGCGAGCGAAAUGGGAAAAGCCUAGAAUUAUAAAGGAAUAAAAAUAUAGUAGAAUAAUUUGGAAAAAUUAACGAUACAAGGUGAUAGUCCUGUAUAUGAAAUAUUUUUGUUCUGGAAUUCAAAAAGUAGAACGGGACACGAGAAAUCUUGUUUGAAGAUAGGGGGACCAUCCUCUAAGGCUAAAUACUCCUGAAUGACCGAUAGUGAACUAGUACCGUAAGGGAAAGGCGAAAAGAACCCCGGUUAGGGGAGUGAAAUAGAUCCUGAAACCAAAUACGUACAAUCAGUAGGAGCUUUUAAAUAUUUGAAAAGUGACUGCGUACCUUUUGUAUAAUGGGUCAGCGACUUGUAUUUUGUAGCAAGGUUAACUUAUUUUAGGGAGCCGUAGGGAAACCGAGUCUUAAAUGGGCGAUUUAUUUUUAUAGUUGCAAGAUACAGACCCGAAACCCGGUGAUCUAUCCAUGAGCAGGUUGAAGGUUGGGUAAAACCAACUGGAGGACCGAACCGACUGAUGUUGAAAAAUCAGCGGAUGACUUGUGGUUAGGGGUGAAAGGCCAAUCAAACCGGGAGAUAGCUGGUUCUCCCCGAAAGCUAUUUAGGUAGCGCCUCGUGAACUCAUCUUCGGGGGUAGAGCACUGUUUUGACUAGGGGGCCAUCCCGGCCUACCAAAUCAACGCAAACUCCGAAUACCGAAGAAUGUUAUCACGGGAGACACACAGCGGGUGCUAACGUUCGUUGUGGAAAGGGAAACAACCCAGACCGUCAGCUAAGGUCCCUAAAUCAUAAUUAAGUGGGAAACGAUGUGGGAAGGCAUAAACAGCCAGGAUGUUGGCUUAGAAGCAGCCAUCAUUUAAAGAAAGCGUAAUAGCUCACUGGUCUAGUCGGCCUGCGCGGAAGAUAUAACGGGGCUAAAUUAUGUACCGAAGCUACGGCAAUAAAGAUUUUUUUUAUUGGGUAGGGGAGCGUUCUGUAAGCCUGUGAAGAUGUUUUGUAAAAAACAUUGGAGGUAUCAGAAGUGCGAAUGCUGACAUGAGUAACGAUAAAGCAGGUAAAAAACCUGCUCGCCGAAAAACCAAGGGUUCCUGUCCAACGUUAAUCGAGGCAGGGUAAGUCGACCCCUAAGGUGAGGCCGAUAGGCGUAGUCGAUGGGAAACUAGUUAAUAUUCUAGUACUUAUUUUUACUGCGAAGGGGGGACGGAGAAGGUUAGGUUAUCCGGGUGUUGGUAGUCUCGGUUUAAGUAUGUAGGAUGGAAAGUUAGGAAAAUCCGAUUUUCUAUAUAAAAUCUAAGAUACGAAUACGAAUUAUGUAAAUAAUGAAGUAACUAAUACCACGCUUCCAAGAAAAUCCUCUAAGCUUAUAGGUAAAAAUAAAUCGUACCCGAAACCGACACAGGUGGUUAGGUAGAGUAUACUAAGGCGCUUGAGAGAACCUGGAUGAAGGAACUAGGCAAAAUAGUGCCGUAACUUCGGGAGAAGGCACGCUAACAUAUAAGUGUAAAAAUUUACUUUUGAAGCUUAAGUUAGUCGCAGAUACCAGCUGGCUGCAACUGUUUAUUAAAAACACAGCACUGUGCAAACACGAAAGUGGACGUAUACGGUGUGACGCCUGCCCGGUGCCGGAAGGUUAAUUGAUGAAGUUAAGGGAAACCUAAAGCUUUUGAGUGAAGCCCCGGUAAACGGCGGCCGUAACUAUAACGGUCCUAAGGUAGCGAAAUUCCUUGUCGGGUAAGUUCCGACCUGCACGAAUGGCGUAAUGAUGGCCAGGCUGUCUCCAUCCAGGACUCAGUGAAAUUGAAUUUGCUGUGAAGAUGCAGUGUACCCGCGGCAAGACGGAAAGACCCCGUGAACCUUUACUAUAGCUUGACAUUGAGAAUUGAUUUUUAUUGUGUAGGAUAGGUGGGAGACAUAGAAAUUAGUGCGCUAGUAUUAAUGGAGUCAACCUUGAAAUACCACCCUAUAAACAUUGAUUUUCUAACCUUAUAUCGUUAUCCGAUAUAGAGACAGUGUCUGGUGGGUAGUUUGACUGGGGCGGUCUCCUCCCAAAGAGUAACGGAGGAGCACAAAGAUUGGCUAAUUACGGUUGGACAUCGUAAGGUUAGUGCAAAGGCAUAAGCCAGUUUAACUGCGAGCGUGAUAAUGCGAGCAGAUGCGAAAGCAGGUCUUAGUGAUCCGGUGGUUUCUGUAUGGAAAGGCCAUCGCUCAACAAAUAAAAGGUACUCCGGGGAUAACAGGCUUAUACCGCCCAAGAGUUCAUAUCGACGGCGGUGUUUGGCACCUCGAUGUCGGCUCAUCACAUCCUGGGGCUGAAGCAGGUCCCAAGGGUAUGGCUGUUCGCCAUUUAAAGUGGUACGCGAGCUGGGUUUAGAACGUCGUGAGACAGUUCGGUCCCUAUCUGCCGUGGGCGUAGGAAAAUUGAGAGGGGCUACUUCUAGUACGAGAGGACCGAAGUGGACGUAUCUCUGGUGUUCGGGUUGUCAUGCCAAUGGCAUUGCCCGGUAGCUAAAUACGGAAGAGAUAAGUGCUGAAAGCAUCUAAACACGAAACUUGCCUCAAGAUUAGUUUUCCCUGUUAAAUAUAUUUAAAAAUUAUAUUUACUGAAGGGACGUUGGAGACUACGACGUAGAUAGGCUAGGUGUGUAAGCAUAGCAAUAUGUUCAGCUAACUAGUACUAAUGACCCAAUAGGCUUGACCUU